rnacentral:rRNA from 1 species
GACGAACCGUGCGAACGUUGUUCGGAUUCACUGGGCUUAAAGGGCGCGUAGGCGGGUGGUCAAGUCAGAGGUGAAAUCCUCCAGCUUAACUGGAGAAGUGCCCCUGAUACUGGCCAUCUCGAGGGAGGUAGGGGCAUGUGGAACUUCCGGCGGAGCGGUGAAAUGCGUAGAUAUCGGAAGGAACGCCGGUGGCGAAAGCGACGUGCUGGACCUCUUCUGACGCUGAGGCGCGAAAGCUAGGGGAGCAAACGGG